rnacentral:rRNA from 1 species
AUCGAACGCUGGCGGCAUGCCUUACACAUGCAAGUCGAACGGUAGCAUAGGAGCUUGCUCCUGAUGGCGAGUGGCGAACGGGUGAGAAAUAUAUCGGAACGUGCCCUAGAGUGGGGGAUAACUAGUCGAAAGAUUAGCUAAUACCGCAUACGAUCUACGGAUGAAAGUGGGGGAUCGCAAGACCUCAUGCUCCUGGAGCGGCCGAUAUCUGAUUAGCUAGUUGGUGGGGUAAAAGCCUACCAAGGCGACGAUCAGUAGCUGGUCUGAGAGGACGACCAGCCACACUGGGACUGAGACACGGCCCAGACUCCUACGGGAGGCAGCAGUGGGGAAUUUUGGACAAUGGGGGCAACCCUGAUCCAGCAAUGCCGCGUGAGUGAAGAAGGCCUUCGGGUUGUAAAGCUCUUUUGUCAGGGAAGAAACGGUUCUGGAUAAUACCCAGAGCUAAUGACGGUACCUGAAGAAUAAGCACCGGCUAACUACGUGCCAGCAGCCGCCGUAA